GGUCCCAGUGAGCCAACUUGCGGAGCACGAGGUGGCCGCGUACAGCAAGCUGGAGGAGGAAAGGGCCAGCAAGGCCCUCGACGUCCUCAUCGACAUCUGCGCAAGUCAAAGGGUUCGUUCCUUCCUUCGUCCACACCAACCCCUCCUCCCUUCGUUUCCUCUCAUGACGAGGCGAUCCUCAUUUUGAUCCCCACCACCGCCGAGACGCUGAGCUGAACAGUCGCGUUCGAUCGGAGCAGGUCCACGCGCGCAAGGUCGUCGUGUCGGGGGACGACGCCGCGAGGGGCCUGGUCCAGCUCGUCGACGACCAUGGCGUGGCCGAGCUCGUCAUGGGCGCCGCCGCUGACCGGGGAUACACCAGGAAGUUGCGGACGCCCAAGUCCAAGAAGGCGGUGACGGUGCAGCGGAAGGCCAACCCCUCUUGCAGGAUCUGGUUCGUCUGCAAGGGAAACCUCAUUUGCACCAGGCACGUAUAUGUCUGAACAUCUUGAUGCCAUUCAGUUCACUGUAUCAUAUAGAGAUUACCAAGAAGAAACUGUUUGACAGA